rnacentral:rRNA from 1 species
GAUGAACGCUGGCGGCGUGCCUAAUACAUGCAAGUCGAGCGAACAGACGAGGAGCUUGCUCCUCUGACGUUAGCGGCGGACGGGUGAGUAACACGUGGAUAACCUACCUAUAAGACUGGGAUAACUUCGGGAAACCGGAGCUAAUACCGGAUAAUAUAUUGAACCGCAUGGUUCAAUAGUGAAAGACGGUUUUGCUGUCACUUAUAGAUGGAUCCGCGCCGCAUUAGCUAGUUGGUAAGGUAACGGCUUACCAAGGCAACGAUGCGUAGCCGACCUGAGAGGGUGAUAGGCCACACUGGAACUGAGACACGGUCAAGACUCCUACGGGAGGCAGCAGUAGGGAAUCUUCCGCAAUGGGCGAAAGCAUGACGGAGCAACGCCGCGUGAGUGAUGAAGGUCUUCGGAUCGUAAAACUCUGUUAUUAGGGAAGAACAAAUGUGUAAGUAACUAUGCACGUCUUGACGGUACCUAAUCAGAAAGCCACGGCUAACUACGUG